rnacentral:snoRNA from 1 species
AUCGUGAUGAUUUCCUAUGCUGUGUCCUUUCUGAUCUUUUUGACUGAUAUCAUUCUCUUCUGA